AAACUAAAGCAAUAACAGAAAAUGCUUUUAAAAUAGUGUAUCUUCAAUGUUUAAGAAAACAGUUUCAAAAGGAAAUGACUAGCUAUAAUGAAUCAUUUCUGAAAGCCUUGAAAGGGUAACUAGAAUACUGGUCCUAUCAAUAAAGAAUUCUGUGUCUUAUAAUUUCAGGGAAAAAAAAAGUUCAUAUAGAAUACUCCAAGGGUAUGAAAGGUUCUAAGUAAUUAAAACAAUUUAGCUAUCUUUUAGAACUUUCCUAACUUUUCUGGCAAAGAAACCACAGAGGAUGACUAAUGUUUUCAGAAAGAAUUCUCGAAACAGUUGGAAGGGUCAGUACAUUGACGCAUACUGCGGGAGGGGAGAGUCAUCGGCAAAGGCUCUCUGGAGGCCCUAACACACGUGAAAACGGAAGCACAGGAGACAGAAGAGCACUUACACGAGACUGAACAUCAUAUUAUAUCAGCAGAGAUCUGAAAAGUUUUACAAUGCUUAUGCGAAAGAUUUGCUUUCUAAUAUCUAUGACAAUAAGCAUAUCUUUACAACACCCUCUCAACUCCUGAUAAACGGAUCGAGUUUCUACUAUGGCAACACCUGGUGAGGUAUUUUAUUAUUCUACAAAUAGUGUUUAAAAACUAGAACAUCACUGUCCAACAGAACCUUCUGUGACAAAGGAAAUGUUCUAUACUGACGCUAUGGUAAUUCAGGAAUUUAAAUAGGACUACUGGAAAUGACGAACUGAAUUUUAACUUGUAAUAACUACACAUGACUAGUUGCUACAAUAAUAGUUUAUGUCCACAGUCACUUGGACAUAAACUAUUAUUAUAAUGAAGAUAUUAAAUUAAGAUAUUAAAACAUGUCCAUGAGAAAACUAUGAGCUUAUGAGAAACUAAAGAUAAUAUGACAGCAUUUUCAUAAUCCAUGUACAUCGCAAGAUUCAUAUUUCACACAGACAUGCAUAUUUUUUAACGUUCAGAUAGCUGAAAAGAGCCCAUUAUGGAAACUAGUCAAGAAAAUGCGAGUAAUGGAUUACAUGAAAUGUGACUUACACCAUGUACAGGAAGUUAACCAGUGGACAAAAAUAAAGUACAGUAAGAAAUACCAUGUAAGUGCCAUGAGGGAAACGAC
rnacentral:lncRNA from 1 species